rnacentral:rRNA from 1 species
CCUACGGGAGGCAGCAGUGGGGAAUUUUGGACAAUGGGCGAAAGCCUGAUCCAGCAAUGCCGCGUGUGUGAUGAAGGCCUUCGGGUUGUAAAGCACUUUUGGCGGGAACGAAAAGGGCCGUGCUAAUACCAUGGUUCGAUGACGGUACCCGCAGAAUAAGCACCGGCUAACUACGUGCCAGCAGCCGCGGUAAUACGUAGGGUGCAAGCGUUAAUCGGAAUUACUGGGCGUAAAGAGUGCGCAGGCGGUUUUGCAAGACCGAUGUGAAAUCCCCGGGCUUAACCUGGGAACUGCAUUGGUGACUGCAAGGCUAGAGUGUGUCAGAGGGAGGUGGAAUUCCGCAUGUAGCAGUGAAAUGCGUAGAUAUGCGGAGGAACACCGAUGGCGAAGGCAGCCUCCUGGGAUAACACUGACGCUCAUGCACGAAAGCGUGGGGAGCAAACAGGAUUAGAUACCCUGGUAGUCCACGCCCUAAACGAUGUCUACUAGUUGUCGGGGAUUAAUUUCCUUGGUAACGCAGCUAACGCGUGAAGUAGACCGCCUGGGGAGUACGGUCGCAAGAUUAAAACUCAAAGGAAUUGACGG